UCAAGCGACUAAGUGCAUAUGGUGGAUGCCUUGGCGAUCACAGGCGAUGAAGGACGUGUAAGCCUGCGAAAAGCUUCGGGGAGCUGGCAAUAAAGCUUUGAUCCGGAGAUGUCCGAAUGGGGAAACCCACUCCGCAAGGAGUAUCCCAAUCUGAAUACAUAGGGUUGGGAGGCGAACCCGGUGAACUGAAACAUCUAAGUAGCCGGAGGAAAAGAAAUCAACCGAGAUUCCGUAAGUAGUGGCGAGCGAACACGGAAGAGCCUGAGAGUGAUAGCAGGAUGGUUAGCAGAACGGAAUGGAAAGUCCGGCCGUAGUGGGUGAUAGCCCCGUAUGCGAAAGCCAACCUGUGGUACUAAGCUUGAGAAAAGUAGGGCGGGGCACGAGAAACCCUGUCUGAACAUGGGGGGACCAUCCUCCAAGGCUAAAUACUCGUGAUCGACCGAUAGUGAACCAGUACCGUGAGGGAAAGGCGAAAAGAACCCCGGGAGGGGAGUGAAAUAGAACCUGAAACCGUAUGCAUACAAACAGUGGGAGCCUCCUUGAGGGGUGACUGCGUACCUUUUGUAUAAUGGGUCAGCGACUUACGUUAUGUUGCGAGCUUAACCGAAUAGGGGAGGCGUAGCGAAAGCGAGUCUGAUAAGGGCGUUAAGUAGCAUGGCGUAGACCCGAAACCGGAUGAUCUAUCCAUGGCCAGGAUGAAGGUGCGGUAACACGCACUGGAGGUCCGAACCCACUGACGUUGAAAAGUCAGGGGAUGAGCUGUGGAUAGGGGUGAAAGGCUAAACAAAUCCGGAAAUAGCUGGUUCUCCCCGAAAACUAUUUAGGUAGUGCGUCUUGUAUCACUUGCGGGGGUAAAGCACUGUUAUGGCUAGGGGGUCAUCGCGACUUACCAAACCAUGGCAAACUCUGAAUACCGCAAAGUGCGAGCAAGGCAGACAGACAGUGGGUGCUAACGUCCAUUGUCAAGAGGGAAACAACCCAGACCGCCAGCUAAGGUCCCCAAGACACAGUUAAGUGGGAAACGAAGUGGGAAGGCAUAGACAGCUAGGAGGUUGGCUUAGAAGCAGCCAUCCUUUAAAGAAAGCGUAAUAGCUCACUAGUCGAGUCGUCCUGCGCGGAAGAUGUAACGGGGCUCAAACUGUGCACCGAAGCUGCGGAUAUCCUUUGGAUAUGGUAGGGGAGCGUUCUGUAGGUCUGUGAAGGUGUCUUGUAAAGGAUGCUGGAGAUAUCAGAAGUGCGAAUGCUGACAUGAGUAGCGAUAAAGCGGGUGAAAGGCCCGCUCGCCGAAAGCCCAAGGUUUCCUACGCAACGUUCAUCGGCGUAGGGUGAGUCGGCCCCUAAGGCGAGGCAGAGAUGCGUAGUCGAUGGGAAACAGGUCAAUAUUCCUGUACCGAUUCUAGAUGCGAUGUGGGGACGGAGAAGGUUAGGUCAGCCGGGUGUUGGAUGUCCCGGUUUAAGCGUGUAGGCGUGCCCCUUAGGCAAAUCCGGGGGGCUAAGCUGAGGCGUGACGACGAGGUGCUAAGGCACUGAAGUGAUUGAUACCCAGCUUCCAGGAAAAGCCACUAAGCUUCAGUCUAGAUUCGACCGUACCGCAAACCGACACAGGUGGGCAGGAUGAAAAUUCUAAGGCGCUUGAGAGAACUCAGGAGAAGGAACUCGGCAAAUUGACACCGUAACUUCGGGAGAAGGUGUGCCCCGAUGAUGUGAACGCCCUCGCGGCGGGAGCAGUAAGGGGUUGCAGUGAAAUGGUGGCUGCGACUGUUUAAUAAAAACACAGCACUCUGCAAACACGAAAGUGGACGUAUAGGGUGUGACGCCUGCCCGGUGCUGGAAGAUUAAAUGAUGGGGUGCAAGCCCUUGACUGAAGUCCCAGUAAACGGCGGCCGUAACUAUAACGGUCCUAAGGUAGCGAAAUUCCUUGUC
rnacentral:rRNA from 1 species